UACGAAGGGUGCAAGCGUUACUCGGAAUUACUGGGCGUAAAGCGUGCGUAGGCGGUUCGUUAAGUCUGAUGUGAAAGCCCUGGGCUCAACCUGGGAAUGGCAUUGGAUACUGGCGGGCUGGAGUUCGGUAGAGGGUCGCGGAAUUCCCGGUGUAGCGGUGAAAUGCGUAGAGAUCGGGAGGAACAUCAGUGGCGAAGGCGGCGACCUGGACCAGAACUGACGCUGAGGCACGAAAGCGUGGGGAGCAAACAGG
rnacentral:misc_RNA from 1 species